UUCGGGUCCCGGAACAAGCGAUCACACACGGUACAAACUGCCAGAGGACUCAUCGACUGUCCGGUUCCUCCAUGUUCAGACGGAUCCUGCUUCUCUGUCUGCUCACACUCAGACAUGACCAAUAGGAAACCUCUCAGCGGCGGUUCAAAGACCCUGCAGGACCCUGUGUAGCAGCGUGGGACCCUGACUGACCCCCUCUACUGGCGGGAAGGACAAACACGUCUUCUUCAGACCUGACCUCUGCAGGAGGACGACCAGACUUGUUGCCUUUCACACGUGCACAAGGCAGCGGGAGAUUCUUCACUCAGACGUGUUCACAGAAAUCUCAGAGUGUUCAGGUGAUGCAGCAAAGUAAUUCUGCUGCUCCUGACCUCUGACCCUCCUAACAGUCAUGACACCACUCUUUAUAAAGGUGGAUUGAAUGAAGCAUGGACCACUAUCACAUGUUCACACACACAAUAAUGAAAAAUUACACACAUCAGAGGAAUAAAAUGUGUUUAUUGGUGAAAA